rnacentral:rRNA from 1 species
AUUGAACGCUGGCGGCAUGCCUAACACAUGCAAGUCGAACGGCAGCACAGCAGAGCUUGCUCUGUGGGUGGCGAGUGGCGGACGGGUGAGUAAUGCAUCGGGACCUACCCAGACGUGGGGGAUAACGUAGGGAAACUUACGCUAAUACCGCAUACGUCCUAUGGGAGAAAGCAGGGGACCUUCGGGCCUUGCGCGGUUGGACGGACCGAUGUGCGAUUAGCUAGUUGGUAGGGUAAUGGCCUACCAAGGCGACGAUCUUUAGCUGGUCUGAGAGGAUGAUCAGCCACACUGGGACUGAGACACGGCCCAGACUCCUACGGGAGGCAGCAGUGGGGAAUAUUGGACAAUGGGCGAAAGCCUGAUCCAGCAAUGCCGCGUGAGUGAAGAAGGCCUUCGGGUUGUAAAGCUCUUUUGUCAGGGAAGAAACGGGAUGUCCUAAUACGGUGUCCUAAUGACGGUACCUGAAGAAUAAGCACCGGCUAACUACGUGCCAGCAGCCGCGGUAAUACGUAGGGUGCAAGCGUUAAUCGGAAUUACUGGGCGUAAAGCGUGCGCAGGCGGUUAUGUAAGACAGGUGUGAAAUCCCCGGGCUUAACCUGGGAAUGGCAUUUGUGACUACAUAGCUAGAGUGUGUCAGAGGGGGGUAGAAUUCCACGUGUAGCAGUGAAAUGCGUAGAGAUGUGGAGGAAUACCGAUGGCGAAAGCAGCCCCCUGGGACAUGACUGACGCUCAUGCACGAAAGCGUGGGGAGCAACAGGAUUAGAUACCCUGGUAGUCCACGCCCUAAACGAUGCGAACUGGAUGUUGGUCUUAACUCGGAGAUCAGUGUCGAAGCUAACGCGUUAAGUUCGCCGCCUGGGGAG